rnacentral:rRNA from 1 species
UAGUCCACGCUGUAAACGAUGAGAACUAGAUGUUGGGAGAGAUAAAUCUUUCAGUGUCGAAGCUAACGCGUUAAGUUCUCCGCCUGAGGAGUACGGCCGCAAGGCUAAAACUUAAAGGAAUUGACGGGGGCCCGCACAAGCGGUGGAGCAUGUGGUUUAAUUCGAUGCAACGCGAAGAACCUUACCUACCCUUGACAUUCUCGGAAUUCUCCUAGAGAUAGGAGAGUGCCUUCGGGAACCGAGUAACAGGUGCUGCAUGGCUGUCGUCAGCUCGUGUCGUGAGAUGUUGGGUUAAGUCCCGUAACGAGCGCAACCCUUAUCCUUAGUUGCCAGCACAUAAUGGUGGGGACUCUAGGGAGACUGCCGGUGAUAAACCGGGAGGAAGGGCGAGGGACGAGGUCAAGUCAUCAUGGCCCUAUGGGGUAGGGGCUACACACGUGCUACAAUGGGGCAGUACAGAGGGGCUGCGAAACCGUGAGGGUUGAGCGAAUCCCAGAAA